GCAGCAGCCACGGUAAUACGGAGGGUGCAAGCGUUAUCCGGAUUCACUGGGUUUAAAGGGUGCGUAGGCGGAUUAGAAAGUCCGUUGUGAAAUCUCCGAGCUUAACUCGGAAAUUGCGGUGGAUACUAUUAGUCUUGAAUACUGUGGAGGUUAGCGGAAUAUGUCAUGUAGCGGUGAAAUGCAUAGAUAUGACAUAGAACACCAAUUGCGAAGGCAGCUGGCUACACAGAUAUUGACGCUGAGGCACGAAAGCGUGGGGAUCAAACAGGAUUAGAUACCCCCGUAGUCCCUGUCUCUUAUAC
rnacentral:rRNA from 1 species